rnacentral:lncRNA from 1 species
UGUACCCCGAGGAACUCACAAGAGUUUCAGAAGCCCUGGGCCAGCCACCAGAAACACAGCCCAGCAGCAGGAAGACCCCGCCUGGGGACUGCAGCAGUCCUGCGACCUUCCGAAGCACCAAGGUCGUGCGGGUCACGGAGGACCGAGACCUGUUCCAGACUCAAGAGCCACAGAACUAAGGAGCAGAUGUGACGGCCGUCCCGUUCACGACUCUUUUCCACACAGGCGAUCGAGCACUUGCACGACCUGUGGAACAACCGUUCCUGUUCAUUCCACGUGGUGAGUUCUUCCCCAGAUACGUUAAGUGAGUAAACAGGAGAAGAGAUA